UAGCAAAUGCAACAUUUUUUCUCCCAAUGAUCUCAAAUAUGACCAAUUUUUUGAGACUCAGAAAAGUUAGGUGGUAGAAGAAAAAUAUAUAUCCAAAAAAAUAUAACCCAUUAAACAUACCUAGAUUUUUUCGUUUGUCCUCCAGACUAGACUUUUCAAGUCUUAAAAUGCGAACACGAGUGAAUGAACCUAUUAAGAGUUCGCGUCUGCGAAAAAUGAUAAGGUUUCAUAAUGAACUUAAUGACAAGAUGUUAAAAUUUGUAACAAAUUGAUCCCACAUUGGGCGCCAUCAUAAAUUUCAUAUCUGUACACAGAAGUAAAAUUACUUCCUAUCUCUGAAUAUUUAAUUAAUCUUACAUAAAAAAGUAGCAACAAACAUUUGUUAUUGUCACCCAUUACCUAAAUUUGUAUAUUGAAAUUCCUUGUUAACUUAUCAAUUUUUGUCAUCAUUUUUAUGAAUCUACGCCUUGCAUAUUGAUGAUGAUGAUCCCUGCUCGAUGAGGGUUAUCAACUGAUAAAGUGCUUUUGUGUACUCUUGCAACUUGGAUGCUUAUAGAAGUGUCCCGUUUUUAAUCAAAUUGAACAUACUCAAGUGAAACGUUGGCUAUAAUAUUCUCUCAAGUACAAUAUGAAACUUAUAUUUUUAUUAAUUUUGACUAUAGUCAUUUUUUCUGUUUUGAUUGAAGCUAAGAAAAAAUCUGGUUCUGCUUCAGCAUGUGUUGAACUCCAUGCCCAUGGUGGUAAAAAAGCUUGCAGAGGUCAUAGCCGAAAAAAUCAUGAAAAGACAGAAUCUAAAAAAACACGUCAUCCAUCUUCCCGUAAGAAGACUACGAAGCAGCGUAAAUCCAACAAAAAUAAAAUAAAAAAUCAAUUGAAAAAUGAAGUGAAAGUUGAAUCGAAUGUUGAAGUUAAUAGUGAAGUGAAUACAUAACGUUAAAUUUUAUAUAAAUAAAAUCUGACGUAAUUAUUAUUUUUUUGUUAAAUUUAAUACAAAUAAAAUGUGAUUUUUAUAGUCUA